ensembl:lncRNA novel transcript, antisense to KCNJ6
GCAGCGCUGCGAUGCCUGGAGGAAGAAUUUCCCACUUAGAGGCUUACUGCUCUGUGCACAGACACGCGAGUUGCAGAAUGAGUGUCUAAUUUGGCGUGGCCCAUGAAGGGUGAAGGCUCAGCCCCACGUCUUGGUUUACCUUCAGCUGCUGGCAAUGGAGGGAGGGUUGGCAUGUUCCAGUUCCAGCAGCCGGUGUGCCGGGCGAUGUUCAGCAGAGCCAGAGAGCAGGAACAGCAGGAACUCCUGGAAACUGAAUCACAGAUCAGAUCAUGUUGUUCCACAAGAACGAUGUGUCACUGUGAGGCUGCAUUCCUGACCACGAACUGAGCACCAAAUAAGUCAUGGACAUGCACCAAAAGGUGUGACCCAAGGGAGGCAGGGUGAGCCCCAUGUCUCAGAACAUCCUCGCGGACAGCAAAGCCCUUGAUGUGGUGGAGUAGGGGCCUGUGGCAACCCCUCACACAUGGCAGGUCCUUUGCAACCCCAAGUGCUUCAGAUGCUACCAGCCCUCCUUGGGCAGGUCUGAGAUGUGACAGAGAAGAAGAUGAGAAUGGAAAAAGAGAAAGAAGAGCGGAAAACUAAAAGAGGGAAGGGCAGAGGAAAGAGCAGAAAUGCAGUCUAGCUGGAGGGCAGGCUGCUGGCUCCAGCCACUGCCUCAGAUCCCCCCGACCUGGGGUACUCAGGAGUCUGAGUGGGUACAGGGCUAUAGCCUCAAUUUCCCCAUCUGAUGUGGGACUUGCCUUGACCCAAUGCCUGGACCACAAUCAUCCCUGAUACCUGAAGCCUCCAUAGAUAUGACUCUUUCUAACGUUUGCUGCUUCAGGAUUCAACCUUGUCCACUUUUGGCUUCUUCAUGCCCUCUCCAAUGAGCAGUGAUUCAAAACCUUUUAUAAAACUACCCAUCACUAUCAUCUCUGGCAACAUGGCUGUCUAGAGAACUCAGAAAACUGUCUCCCUCUGUAAUGUUUAAAAUGCUGGCUAUAUUUCAGAAAUGUAGAUGGCUGCACAUGACAAAGUUAAAAAGAAAGGGAAGUGUUCAGAGGUCAAAAGAGGAUGCCAAAGUCCAGAGAGCUGCAGGAAUGCUGGAGGGAGGCUGCCCUGGGGCAGGUGCUAACCCCAUGACCUCAGGUGGCUUUGGUGUGCCCACUUCCUGGGGACUUGGCACAGCAGCUUGGGUGAGACUCACGUGCAGAGCUCACUGUCCAGGCAGCUUUCCCAAGAGGCACCUGCCUGGGCACACACCUACACUCUCUUCCUUUUUUCUUUCACAACUGGUCCCCUCCAACUUGACCAAGAAAGGCCAUGUUUUACCAGGAUUCCUGCCACAGGGUGCAAGGCCCUAGACAAAGGGGCGAGAGAUAAGAAAUAUCAGUGCUGUUGGACACCCUUCUAAUAGUGGCAUCAUGUGCCCCAGGCUGGCUUCGGGGCUCUCCUUCUCUCCCAUGCUCUACCCUGAAUGGGAAGCACUGGUCGUGGGGUGUUCUGGCCCAGCUGUGAGGUUCUGAAUUCAUUUGAGUUGUAGAGUGGGCUAGCACAUGGGAUGCUGAUUUUCCUUUAAUGACCUUGCCCCUUCCAUUCCCUACUAUGGCCACAGAAUGCAUUGUUCCCAUAAGGACCAAACAAAGACUUGUAGACGAUGGUAGCUCAUGUCACCCAGGCAGCAAACACACACCUCACUGGCGUACCUGUGUUAGAAAUAAUUUGGGAUGGGGAGAAGGCGUGCUGGGACUCUCCAUGAGGUUCAGAGCAUGCUGCUGUCAUGCUCACCACCAGGGCUGGAGGGAGCUUGUUGGAGAGCACGCUUACUGCGGGCCAGGCACUGCACCAGAGGGCACCCGUUUGGCCUUAAUUGACACCGCUAAUCUUGGUAAGGCCUGUCUCCCAUCGGUGUCCCCGUCUGUGCCUUGGUUGGAUCAUUUGCAUGAUUUUAAGGUUGAGAAAGUGAAAAUGUGCACACCUAAGCAGAUUGAUGGAACAUCUCUGACAGAAAGUCACAUAGGAUAGAGGUAAGAUAGUGUCUUAGUUUCUUCAACAUUUACAGGGAAAACACUUUCAUGAUCUUUUGGCCAAAAUACAAUUGAAUAUUGUAAAUCCAUAUUCAACUUUUUUUGCAAGGGUCUAUUGAAAUUCAUACUAUCUCUAUGUUUCUGAAAUUUUCACAGGAUAUCAGGCUAAAAGAGGCUUUUCUAACUAUGAGUAACAGAUUAAUAGUUAUUUGAUAACUGUUGAUAAGACCCCCUCCCCACUCCCACCUUUUGGUAUAAUUCCUUGAAAGUGAGAAUGUGACUGUCUAUAAUGACUAGUAACAAAUGACUAGUAACUUUUGUAAGAUAGGUGGGUUCUAAUUAUUUGCUUUUAACAAAACGGAAACAGCUUAUGGGUAAUUUAAAAUAACUUUCCAUGAUUAAUCAGCACGUGAUUUUUAAUAACAAAUGACUCCAAAGGGGUUCAUAGAACAGAGUGAUGUGCUACAUCAAUACUCAUUUCUUCCCUUUUCUGUAAUUUUGAGAAUAAUGUUCAUAAGUGCAUAUAUCUAAACU